rnacentral:ncRNA from 1 species
CAUGACAAAUGAACACGACCUCAUAUAAUCUUGGGAAUACGGCCCAUAAGUCUCUACCCAAUGACCUUAAAUCAUUGGACUAUGAAGGAAAGUGAACCUAUA